rnacentral:rRNA from 1 species
GGUGACGACCUUCGGGAGCUUGCACAGGUGCUGCAUGGCUGUCGUCAGCUCGUGUCGUGAGAUGUUCGGUUAAGUCCGCUAACGAGCGCAACCCUCGCUGUGUGUUAUAUGUGUCACACGGGACUGCCGGUCUUAAAGCCGGAGGAAGUGGGGAUGAUGUCAAGUCAGCAUGGCCUUUAUAUCCUGGGCUACACACACGCUACAAUGGCCAACACAAUAGGUUGCUAAGCCGCGAGGUGGCGCCAAUCCAUAAAGUUGGUCUCAGUUCAGAUUGUAGGCUGCAACCCGCCUGCAUGAAGAUGGAGUUGCUAGUAACCGCAGGUCAGCUAUACUGCGGUGAAUACGUUCCCGGGGCUU